GGCUGUUCUCGGGUGCCCACACCCCGAAUUCGGGCUCCCUCCUCCCUGAUUCCAGGGUGUGUCACCCAAGACCAGCU
rfam:Myotis lucifugus cont2.30202, whole genome shotgun sequence.